GGGCCCGUAGCCCAGCCCGGAUAGGGCGUUGGUCUUCGGAACCAAAAGUCGUGGGUUCAAAUCCCUCCGGGCCCA
rnacentral:tRNA from 2 species